rnacentral:antisense_RNA from 1 species
CUUCACCGAGCCCAGACUCAGCGGCUGGUCCCCGGUGCGGCCCUGGCCGUAGGUCGCGAUCAGCGCCUGCGCCUC